GACGAACGCUGGCGGCGUGCUUAACACAUGCAAGUCGAACGGAAAGGCCCUGCUUGCAGGGUCCUCGAGUGGCGAACGGGUGAGUAACACGUGGGUGAUCUGCCCUGCACUUCGGGAUAAGCCUGGGAAACUGGGUCUAAUACCGGAUAGGAGCCAUUUUUAGUGUGAUGGUUGGAAAGUUUUUUCGGUGUAGGAUGAGCUCGCGGCCUAUCAGCUUGUUGGUGGGGUAAUGGCCUACCAAGGCGGCGACGGGUAGCCGGCCGGAGAGGGUGGACGGCCAAAUUGGGACUGAGAUCCGGCCCAGACGCCUGCGGGAGGCAGCGGUGGGGAAUAUUGCACAAUGGGCGCAAGCCUGAUGCAGCGACGCCGCGUGGGGGAUGACGGCCUUCGGGUUGUAAACUCCUUUCGCUAGGGACGAAGCUUUUUGUGACGGUACCUAGAGAAGAAGCACCGGCUAACUACGUG
rnacentral:rRNA from 1 species